GGUUACGCCCAGCGGAGUACCAUCUUCGUUAGGUUAUAUCCUUUGUGAGUAUAAUAUUUUUCUACCAAUAUAAUAAGUGAGUAAUUUUCACGCAAACAAUAAAGGCGAUUAAGCUAUUGAUAAGAUGUAAUACAAAAGUAUAAAGCGAAAUCGUUAGUGACAUAGAACAACGAGCGAGCGAGAUAAAACAGCAAGAAUUUUUCUAGUUAAUCUGACCUUAAGAUAUGACUUUAUGCAUAGUGGGAGUAGACCUGGCAUAACAACAGUGUUGUAAUGGAUGCCUUGUGGAAAACGGACGGGUCUCUUUUGUAAAAGAAUCCACUGUAAAAAAACCUACAAUACCCGGUGUUAGAAUCAGGAUAAAUAAAAGUUGUUUAAUUUUUAGAAUAAAGCAAAGUAAAUAAACGACAGACCAGCUCGUUGCAUUCAAUAUCUUCUAUUCUCGUACGGAGGUUGGAUUAUUUUUGUAAACGACUUUGACCAUGCCACGUUGGUGUUUGGGGCGAAAUAAUCCUGAUUGAAGAUAAAAAGAAAAUUUCACAGACUCGGUUUCACGUUUGUACGAAGGUGCCAUUGUUGUAGAAAACACGUUCGCGAAAGAAAGACACUUUGCGGGCAAAUUAGUAGUACGAAUGGAGACAAAGUUACGAUCGGGUUAAGGCGUUAAAUCAAAUCGCAGCCAAGAAGCAAAGAUCGAAAUGGCGCUAAUUUAUGGAAAAGGAAUUCCGGUUCUGUGUGUUCUGGUCUCUUCUAGACCACCAAGAGUUUUCCCAUCGAGAGACGAGAUCUACGAGGCAUCGUUUUCGAGAAGACGUCGGUGCCUUUUUCGGAAUUAACGAGCUUCGGCUGGAAAACUACCGUACGUGGUGUUACGCCCGUAAAAUGGCAUAGCUGUGCAUCAAACGCGCCGACCUGUGCGGUUAGAUAUCGGUCUUUGGACGUUAGAC